CGACGGGGGGGAACCUGUUGCUUUGUUCAUAAAAAUCCUCUUAGAACUCGGGUCAUGAGCCUGGUGGGCAUUCACAAGCUGGAUGGAGACAAUCACACUCCUGCCUAGAAAAACCACAACAUACUUGACCAAAUUCUGGAUAGGCUGUAACCUCUCUACACAUCAGCCAUGCCCCUCCACAAUCACAGUGUAAAAGAGGCCUGGACACAGGACAGGAUUCAAGAGGAUAUGGAUUCUUCUUCAGCCCCACAGCUGCAAGUUCAG